GACGAACGCUGGCGGCGCGCUUAACACAUGCAAGUCGAGCGGUAAGGCCUCUUCGGGGGUACACGAGCGGCGAACGGGUGAGUAACACGUGGGUGACCUGCCCUCAGCUCUGGGAUAAGCCUGGGAAACUGGGUCUAAUACCGGAUAUGACCACAUGUUGCAUGGUGUGUGGUGGAAAGUUUUUUCGGCUGGGGAUGGGCCCGCGGCCUAUCAGCUUGUUGGUGGGGUGAUGGCCUACCAAGGCGACGACGGGUAGCCGGCCUGAGAGGGCGACCGGCCACACUGGGACUGAGACACGGCCCAGACUCCUACGGGAGGCAGCAGUGGGGAAUAUUGCGCAAUGGGCGGAAGCCUGACGCAGCGACGCCGCGUGGGGGAUGACGGCCUUCGGGUUGUAAACCUCUUUCGACCGGGACGAAGCGUAAGUGACGGUACCGGUAGAAGAAGCACCGGCCAACUACGUG
rnacentral:rRNA from 1 species